AAUAUAUGUCUCCCUCCUUUUCCCUUUCUGUUUCUUUUGUAAAAUGUCAUUCUGUAAUCAUCUAGAGAGCUGUGUUUUAAAGAGGAAAAAGUAUUUCCAUUAAAAUAUACUCUUGUUUUUCAUUUUAUUUUAGAUUAGGCGGGAAGGUGUUCGUCUUUUCUUGUUAUGGUUGCAAGCUCUUCAAAAUAACUGUAGCAGAGAACAACUCUGGAUGUUUUCAUGCUUAAUCCCUGGGUUCUCGGCACCACAAUCUGAACAUGGACCUCGAACUUUAGAUAAUCUUAUUAAUCCUCCACUCAACCUUCAAGAAACUCAAGUCACUAUAGAGGAAAUCACUCCUCUUGUCCCCCCACAAUCAGGAGAUAAAGGACAAGAAGAUCUCACAAGCUACUUUCUUGAAGCACUUUUAAAAUACAUAGUAAUUCAGGUUAAAAGUUUAGAAUGGAAGAACAAAGAAAACCAAGAAAGGGGAUUUUCAUUUUUGUUUUCACAUUUUAAGAAAUAUUAUUUACCUUAUAUUUUUCCAAACAUCUGCAAGGAGAACAGUUUAUAUCAUCCUGCACUUGAUAUCCCACAGAUAAGACCAAAGCCACAUUAUGUCAUGAUAAAGAAGGAUGCUGAAACCAAUGAAGCAAUCUAUUGUACAAAAGAGCCUUUCAUUAAAGCUCGUGUAAUAGUAAUUCGUUGGCUGGUUUCUUUUUGGCUGGAGCCAAAACCACAUGCCGGACCUCAUAUUCCUGGGAUGGAAGGUGAAGUCUUGCCAAAGAAUAUUCAGAGAGCAGCUGCUAGUUUAGUAUCCAGAGAAGAAAACAGAAAUGAUAAUGGUGAUAAAGGAGACAGAACCACAGAACCAGAGCAGUCUCAUUCCAAUACCAGCACUCUGACAGAACGAGAACCUAGCUCAUCUAGUCUCUGUAGUAUUGAUGAAGAGCAUCUCACAGACAUUGAAAUAGUUCGCAGAGUGUUUUCUUCUAAAAGAAGUAAUGUAAACUUUGUCACAGAGAUAUUUCGUCAGUGCUGGUGAUUGAAUCCAGAGCCUUGAACCUGUUAUGCAGGCACUCUACCGCUGAACUACACUCCCAGCCCUAGAAUGUUUUUAGUUGCUUACUUUAAUAGACUUUUUUCUUAUUGUUUGAUAAAAAUAUUGUAUUAAAAGUAUUUUAUCUUUCUAUGAUCAAUAAAAGGUGGUUUAUGAAGUAAUAUUAUCAUUGCUCUUACGUCU
rnacentral:lncRNA from 1 species